rnacentral:rRNA from 1 species
UACGAAGGGGGCUAGCGUUGUUCGGAAUUACUGGGCGUAAAGCGCACGUAGGCGGAUACUUAAGUCAGGGGUGAAAUCCCGGGGCUCAACCCCGGAACUGCCUUUGAUACUGGGUAUCUCGAGUCCGGAAGAGGUGAGUGGAAUUCCGAGUGUAGAGGUGAAAUUCGUAGAUAUUCGGAGGAACACCAGUGGCGAAGGCGGGUCUCUGGGCCGAGUACUGACGCUGAGGAGCGAAAGCGUGGGGAGCG